UCAGGAAAUUAAAUUAAACAUUUGGGACGUUCAUUUUCCCUCUUCGACAGAACCCAUAGUUAGAAGGCUUUAGAAGCGUUCAGAACCUUAGAACCCUUCUUCUACGCAACCCUAGUGUGAGUGCACUUCUCGUCCUUCACAGAGGCUUCACUAGUGUGAGUGCUUCCUCCUUCAGUGUGUGUGAGCUAUCGGAGUCCCUCCUGCUGUUGUGGAUCGUCGUCCAUUCUGCCCUCAUUCGCGGCUAGUGGUAAGUAUUAUCGUUCGUUAGUGGGUUCUUCAAUCAGUGGGUUCUUCGGGCGAAACGUCGUUGUUGGGUGGCACUUGUAAGGGUGUUGGUUGAGGGACUAAGGUGGAGGGUCCGUGGUAGGGUUUUGUUGGCUGUCGUGGUCUACUAUUCUUGCCAUCAAGGCAGGUUAUCCAGAGGCCGUCCAGGAAAUAUUUGGUAUCACACCUGAGUGAAGCAGUUAUUGCUUUGCUGUCUAGCCAGUAAAUUUGGUAUUGUUUUGGAAUCAUUGGUUAAUUUUGUACCAACUUAGGUAUGUUAGAUGAUACUCUGAAACUAUUUUAGGUUCAAAUGAAUAUAUGCAACUAUAAAUGUUCUGUUUGAUGCUAAAUUCAUCUGCAAACUCCU